AAGUCGUAACAAGGUCUCCGUUGGUGAACCAGCGGAGGGAUCAUUACAGAGUUGCAAAACUCCCUAAACCAUCGUGAACCUACCGCUAAACAGUUGCUUCGGCGGGUGGCGGGCGUGCCCCCCCCAGGGGGGAAAGCCCGCCGCCGAGCCCGCCGGAGGAAAACCAAAACUCUUGUUUUUACUACCGGCCUCUCUGAGUAUACUUACUUAAAAUAAGUCAAAACUUUCAACAACGGAUCUCUUGGUUCUG
rnacentral:misc_RNA from 1 species